AGCAGCCGCGGUAAUUCCAGCUCCAAUAGCGUAUAUUAAAGUUGUUGCAGUUAAAAAGCUCGUAGUUGAAUUUCGGGGUUAGUGCGCUGGUCGUGCUUCGGUAUGUACUGGUGUUACUGAUUCCUACCUUCUGAAGAACCGUUAUGUCAUUAAUUUGGUGUGGCGGGGAAUCAGGACUGUUACUUUGAAAAAUUGAGUGUUUAAAGCAGGCUCGCGCUUGAAUACAUUAGCAUGGAAUAAUGAAAUAGGACGUUGAUCCUAUUUUGUUGGUUUCUAGGAUUGACGUAAUGAUUAAUAGGGAUAGUUGGGGGCAUUAGUAUUCAAUUGUCAGAGGUGAAAUUCUU
rnacentral:rRNA from 1 species